ACUCCUACGGGAGGCAGCAGUGAGGAAUAUUGGUCAAUGGAGGGAACUCUGAACCAGCCAUCCCGCGUGUAGGAAGACGGCCUUAUGGGUUGUAAACUACUUUUAUACAGGAAGAAACGUACCCUCGUGAGGGUGCCUGACGGUACUGUAGGAAUAAGCACCGGCUAACUCCGUGCCAGCAGCCGCGGUAAUACGGAGGGUGCGAGCGUUAAUCGGAAUUACUGGGCGUAAAGCGCACGUAGGCGGAUCGGAAAGUUGGGGGUGAAAUCCCGGGGCUCAACCCCGGAACGGCCUCCAAAACUAUCGGUCUAGAGUUCGAGAGAGGUGAGUGGAAUUCCGAGUGUAGAGGUGAAAUUCGUAGAUAUUCGGAGGAACACCAGUGGCGAAGGCGGCUCACUGGCUCGAUACUGACGCUGAGGUGCGAAAGUGUGGGGAGCAAACAGGAUUAGAUACCCUGGUAGGCUCUGCU
rnacentral:rRNA from 1 species